rnacentral:lncRNA from 1 species
UCAAAAAAUAUUUUUCAUUCAAAAAUCAAACACUUAAACAUUUUUCCGGAAAAUAUUUUCUAGUCACCAACAAAACAUGAGAAAAUAAGUCAAAUAUCUACUUGUUUAUCAUGAAAUAUAUUUUCAUUCAUACCAAACACACGCUAAGAAUUUUAUGUGAAAAUUCUAUUUUAAUAAGGAAAAUACCAUAGGCAGGAGAGAGGCACCUGAUGUUACUAUGCUAAAAUAUUUUGUGCAGUGACAAGUACAAUACUCAAAAUGUUCAUAGCAUACUCAAAAUAAAUAAUUUCUUUUUAAUUUUCAUCUUUUAAAAUGUCGCUUACACUCUAAUUUUUCGCAAUCGAUAAAAUACUCACCACUCUCUCUCUAUAUAUCCUUUCUCAAUGAUGUGUUUUGAAUGAGGAGCUGAAGAGCUCCUUUGUACAUUGCAAUAUGCUACGAAGACUUUCUUCCCUUAAUUCUGGUCCGGACCCCACAAAUCGUUCCCUCUAGUCAUAUGCAUCCCAAGAAGGUUAUUUUUGUCUUUUCAAAUAGAGCCUCCUGCGCCAACAAGUUCUUUGCAUAACUUAAUCUUGUCUUUCGGUAUUACUUUGAUUAACAUAUCAAUAAGAUGUUUACUUAUGCGAAAUUAUUUUAAAUAAAAUAAUUCACUCUCCAUUUUGUUCACAAAUUUUAUGAUAUCUCACGUUGAUGUAUAUUGUCCUUGCAUAGCACAUCAAAUUCUUUCUUAAGUUUAUUGCACUCUUAUAAUCACAAUAAACAACAUACUCCAUCUAUCACAAUCUAAGUUCGUGAAGGUAUAUCUCGAGUCAUAUCAUUUUUUUGCCAGCUUAAGUAGUUGCAAUAUACUCAACCCAUCUUCUUUGAUUAUGGUGAUAUAGCCCUUGAAAGAGUAAAUAGGUAUCAAUAGCCGUUUAAGAUUGAAUUUGAUCCUAAAAAACACAAGCAUUCAUCUAAGCUUUCUCUCAAAUAUGGAAGUAUCCACUUAACCGUUUAUCAAUGCUCUUUAUUAGGAUUGUCAUUAGACGUUUUAACAACACAAAUUACCUGAGCAAUAUCAGCUAGUAUAAACCAUUACAUACACUAAAAAUUAAAUGAAUAGAAGCAUACACAACAAUAUUUUUGCUUUGGGGUCAUUCCUCCUCGAAUGCUGGUCAACCUUAUUUGAACACUGAGAAAGGAGCUAACUCUUACUAUAUGCCUGAACUUACCUUCUAACAUAGAUGAAGUUGGUUCAUACUAUUAAUUUGAAACUCACUACAACACACAAGGCAUUAACGUUCACAAUAGGUUACAAGGUGAAAUGGUGUUUUGCAUAAUCACUAUAGGAAGAAAGCUACUACAUCAAAUGUUUUCAUUACAUUCUUUGAAAAAAAGUCAUGGUACGAUAUAUGUGAGACAUCAUAGUAUGAAAAAGUAAUAGGGCAUAGGUAUCUUUGUAAGAUGAUGUCGCGCCCCUAUUUUUCAUUAAGAACGAGUUUUGUGCACGACCUAACAACUCUUUUGAGAUUUUGAGUUUGGAGUCGCCACCUAACGAAUUGAGGCGUGUUAGGGCACCUAUCUAACUUAACUAAGUCUAGCUAAGGUAAACGACCCAGAGAUCAGGGUAAGAGUUCAAAUUACCUCAAGGGGAAGGUGUUAGGCAUCCCUCAAGGUACACAAAUAUUGGUAACGACUGUAUCUCAUGCAAUCUAUGUGGGGGUUACAAGUAGCAAUCAAGGUAACUUCAUUAUUAUUUAUUGAUAUGCUUGCUAAGUGAUGACAUAAUAUUAAUCAAUUAAUUUUUUUAGUUAAUUUAAACGUAGAAGACUAGGUGAUAACAAUAAAUAAAAAAUUAAACUCAUUUUUAUUCAAUUUAGCAUACGAGAUAUACGAGCAAGUAAUAACACAUAAAAUAUGAUAGCAAGAAUAACACUUAUCACAUGGUACAUAUAUAAAGCUAACAAUGCAAAAAUUAAACUAAUAGAAGGUACUAACCGGUUAUGCAAAAUUAUAUGUCCGCAAUGAAGGAUUUUAGUAAGGUUUUCAAUUCACAACAAUAAUACAACAAGAAAGAAUGAUCCAAAGCCUAACUAGAGUUGUUAUUUCUUUUCAAGAAUAGAGAGCAAUAUCUAAAGUAUGAACAAGGUGGGAGAUGAGAGUAUAGAGUAAUGAGAGAAUUUGUAUUAAAAAGUGAAUAUCAAUAUGUGAGAGUGUGAAAUAAUGAAGGAAGGAGUCUUAUUUAUAUAGUAAAAAAGGGGAGAACACAUAAGGAAAAGAAUAUUUUGAGGAAUUAAAUAAAUAUACUAUUUUCCUUACUCAAAAGGAGAUUCAAAUCAACCAAAUAAAAAAAUACCACCUCCAAAUAUAAGCAGGUAGGAAUAAAUUAGAAAGAGAAAUAUUAUUUUCCCCUUAAAUAAAGAAGAGUCAAAUCAUAUAUUUUAUCACUUUUUAUUUUAUGUAUUUAUUUUACCAAGUGUAAGGUUAUUUUUUACCAAAUAAGAGCAAGCAAGAGUUGGGCUGCCAUAAUUAAACACUAUUAGCCACAAGGAAAUAAAAUAAUUAUAUCUUUUAAAAAGGAAAAGGGAAACAAUUUAUAUACUAUCAAUCAAUAUUAUAAUUAACAAAUAGGAAAAUAUAAGGAAAGAAGUAGCACACUCUUCCAUUAGUUAAUCAAACUAACCAUAACCAAGAGGGUCCAAUAAAUUAAACUAAAUUAAUUAUGGGUAAGUAAAGAAAAUACGCAUAAAUCUAAAUCAAAGCAAAAGCGCAAUUUGACCAAGCAAUUAGCUAAAUUAUUAUAUUUAUGGGAUCCUGAUAGAUAUGGAGGAACAAUUAUCAAGCCGAAUUAACAAUGUAAAAAUGUCAAGAAAGAAUAAAAAAUUUUUAUCAUAAACAUGAAGUAGUAAAAAUUGACCAAUUUUCCUUAAAGCAUGAAGCAAAAAUAGACCAACUUUUGUGAAUAUCAAUCAGAUUUCUAUCCCUGCAUAGUUAGAAAAUAUCGGUCACGACAAACAGUCACGCCUAAAUUACAUUUAAUUUACAGAAAAGUUGUUUGAAUUUAUCAAUUAUGGGUCAAUGAUUUAGUGCAUCACAUUUCUACAGAUAAAGACAAAUCAUAGAAAACAUUUGAAGUUCUAAAGAAUAUUUUAGACCAAUUCCAUUACAAUUGAUAGGAUAAAACACAUAUAUUGGUUCUUUUUUUUUUCAUAGGACAUCCAUGAACGUCAAAGUAAUGCUAAGAAUUUAAAUAAUCAGACGAAAGAGGGAGCAAACCUGAACGGAACUGUAACAGACCAGUUUUAAAUAACUUCGAAAUCUUAUAGAGGAGGCUCCGUCGGAGCUCGUUGUUUUUUUGCUGGUGGUGUUUCUGUCUCUCUCGUAGGCUGCUGCUGUAUCACUGCUACAGUUGCUGGCACCUGCAAAAAAAAAAGAGAAAGGAGAAGUGGAAGGGGAAGAGAAGAGACGGGAGGGGAGAGAGGAGGGAAAGAGGGGGAGUUUAGAAGAGGGAAGCAGAGAGAGGAGAAGAACGGAGGGAUAAAGACGGGAAGAAGAGGGAAACGAGAGGGAGAAGAGGAGAGAAGGAGGGGGUCACCGAGGAGAGCGAAGGGAGGAGCGACGGCUGCUCAAGAGAGAGGGGAAGAGCGGAAAAAGAGUAAGAGGCGGGCAGAGGAGAAGAAUGGAGGGAGAAAGAGGGGAAGAAGAGAAGAGAAGGAGGGGGGUCGCCGAGGAGAGAGAGAGAGGGGAGAAGGAGCGACGGGAGAGGGGAGGCGGCUACCGGGAAAGGGAGAGAGAAGAUGUAGGCAGAUAAAGGGUGAGGAGAAGAGAGGGAGAAAAUUUUUAGGUUUUGGAUCUUUUGGUGUUAAAAGAGAGAGAUAGGAAAAGUUGAUCCCAACCGUUAGAUUAGAUAGAGAUAUAGGGUUAGGAUUCGAUUAGAAUUUAAAUAUUUAAAUGAACGAAUGAGAUUAGUAGCUGAAGUCUUGAAAUCAGAUGGGAAAAUAUAUGGAAAGGCUAAAAUUGCAAUUAAAAUGGC